CGAACGGGUGAGUAAUGCGUGACCAACCUGCCCCAUGCUCCAGAAUAGCUCUUGGAAACGGGUGGUAAUGCUGGAUGCUCCAACUUGACGCAUGUCUUGUUGGAAAGUGUUUAGUGGCAUGGGAUGGGGUCGCGUCCUAUCAGCUUGUAGGCGGGGUAAUGGCCCACCUAGGCUUCGACGGGUAGCCGGCCUGAGAGGGCGACGGCCACAUUGGGACUGAGAUACGGCCCAGACUCCUACGGGAGGCAGCAGGG
rnacentral:rRNA from 1 species